rnacentral:rRNA from 1 species
UCUAAGUANAAGCAAUUUAUACAGUGAAACUGCGAAUGGCUCAUUAAAUCAGUUAUCGUUUAUUUGAUAGUCCCUUCACUACAUGGAAUAACCGUGGUAAUUCUNGGGCCAAUACAUGCCAAUAAACCCCGACUUCGGAAGGGGUGCAUUUAUUAGAUAAAAAUCCAAUGUCCUCGGGACUUUUUAGAUGAUUCAUAAUAACUUAACGAAGCUCAUGGCCUUGUGCUUGAGCUGGUUCAUUCAAAAUUCUGCCCUAUCAACUUUCGAUGGUAGGAUAGUGGCCCACCAUGGUUUUAACGGGUAACGGGGAAUAAGGGUUCGAUUCCGGAGAGGGAGCCUGAGAAACGGCUACCACAUCCAAGGAAGGCAGCAGGCGCGCAAAUUACCCAAUCCUGACACAAGGGAGGUAGUGACAAUAUAUAACGAUACAGGGCCCUUUCGGGUCUUGUAAUUGGAAUGAGUACAAUGUAAAUACCUUAACGAGGAACAAUUGGAGGGCAAGUCUGGUGCCAGCAGCCGCGGUAAUUCCAGCUCCAAUAGCGUAUAUUAAAGUUGUUGCAGUUAAAAAGCUCGUAGUUGAACCUUGGGUCUGGUUGACCGGUCUACUUUUUGUACGUACUGGAUUCAACCGGAUCUUUCCUUCUGGCUAACCUUCACUUUUGUGUUGGCAAACCAGGACAUUUACUUUGAAAAAAUUAGAGUGUUCAAAGCAGGCACUUUGCUCGAAUAUAUUAGCAUGGAAUAAUAGAAUAGGACGUUAUGGUUCUAUUUUGUUGGUUUCUAGGACCAUCGUAAUGAUUAAUAGGGACGGUCGGGGGCAUCAGUAUUCACGCGUCAGAGGUGAAAUUCUUGGACCGCCGGAAGACAGCUACUGCGAAAGCAUUUGCCAAGGACGUUUUCAUUAAUCAAGAACGAAAGUUAGGGGAUCGAAGAUGAUCAGAUACCGUCGUAGUCUUAACCAUAAACUAUGCCGACUAGGGAUCGGGUGGUGUUCUUUUU